UGAUAGCUGAGAAGCGAGAGGUUGCUGCACAUAAGUUGCAGGUUUUCCGUGGAGCGAAUGUCAUGUAAUGAUACUGGCGACAA
rnacentral:ncRNA from 1 species